AGCAGCCGCGGUAAUUCCAGCUCCAAUAGCGUAUAUUAAAGUUGUUGCAGUUAAAAAGCUCGUAGUUGAAUUUCGGGAUUAAUAUGUUGGUCGUGCCUUGGUACGUACUGGCAUUAUUGAUUCCUACCUUCUGAAGAACCUCGAUGCCAUUAAUUUGGUGUCUUGGGGAAUCAGGACCGUUACUUUGAAAAAAUUAGAGUGUUUAAAGCAGGCUCGCGCUUGAAUACAUUAGCAUGGAAUAAUGAAAUAGGACGUUUGAUUCUAUUUUGUUGGUUUCUAGGAUCGACGUAAUGAUUAAUAGGGAUAGUUGGGGGCAUUAGUAUUCAAUUGUCAGAGGUGAAAUUCUUGGAUUUAUUGAAGACUGACUACUGCGAAAGCAUUUGCCAAGGAUGUUUUCAUUAAUCAAGAACGAAAGUUAGGGGAUCGAAGACGAUCAGAUACCGUCGUAGUCUUAACCAUAAACUAUGCCGACUAGGGAUCGGAUGAUGUUAAUUUUUUAAUGACUCAUUCGGCGCCUUACG
rnacentral:rRNA from 1 species